GAUAUUUUUACUAUGCAAUUGGAGGGGAGGAAAAAGAGAUCUUGGAGAUUCAGUGGAUGAAAAAGAAAUGCAGUGUCUCUAAAAUGUUUCAUGAUGGUUUUGUGAUUGAUAAUGGUUCAAAAUAGCCAGUAUGGUCUGUGUACAAGUUUUCCAAUAUCACUAGCACCCCUAUACCAUAUGUAGGUUGAAACGCCUGUUAUAUAAAAUGA
rnacentral:lncRNA from 1 species